rnacentral:lncRNA from 1 species
GAGUGCUCUGGUUCAAAAAGAAAAAAAGAGAAUUUGAUAAUUAGAAGCUGAAUACAAUGAAUUAUAUAUAACAGGAAAAUGUGACCAAUUACCUCAUCAUAAUCUUUUGUGUCAUAAAACUAGAAAAACAACUGUGGGGCUAUUCACUAGUGGUUUUGCAUUUUUCUGGGACCAUAAUACAGAUUUUUAAAAAUCAUAUUUUUCCAGAUACAAAUCGAGCUUUAAGACUGUUGGAAGAAUAUGCAAAAAAUUAAGGAAACCGGAGGAACAGCCACUGAAGAAAGCGGUCAAAAAAGUGAUGGGCAUCUUUAAGAGUUCAUUAUUUCAGGCUUUACUGGAUGCUAACCAAGCUUUAAGAGAAAAACCCAAAGAUGAAUAACUUCACAGUGGAGAUUUCGGCACAAGGACCGAAAUGAAAAAGGCCAGAAUGAAGAAAGCAUUACCAGCAAAAAUUAAGCUUAUGUGCCUUUUUUCAGGCUCCAUCCGGGAGCUAUGCUUAAAGUUCUUUACUAAUCUCAGAACUACUUGGCACAGUGGGUUGCCUCUCAUUACUUUGAUUUGUCGUUUACCAAUAAUUAACACUGCAAUAAUUACCUCACAUUUUUUGACUUUAUCUUUGAUGUUGGAGAAUCUCUGGAGAAGCUGCGGUGGUUCUAGGUAUAGAGUGACAUCUUGUGGCAAAAUUAGUGAAAAAAUAUUUUUGUAACUACAUCUGCCAUAGGAUUCUGUUUGCAAAAUUUUUUCAGGGUAUGGAAAUAAAUAAAUGUGAACUCUCUUUGAUUUUGGUGCA